UGCCUUACACGUGCAAGUCGAACGGCAGCACGGAGCUUGGCUCGGGGGCGAGUGGCGAACGGGUGAGUAAUAUAUCGGAACGUACCCUAGAGUGGGGGAUAACGUAGCGAAAGUUACGCUAAUACCGCAUACGAUCUAAGGAUGAAAGUGGGGGAUCGCAAGACCUCAUGCUCGUGGAGCGGCCGAUAUCUGAUUAGCUAGUUGGUAGGGUAAAAGCCUACCAAGGCAUCGAUCAGUAGCUGGUCUGAGAGGACGACCAGCCACAUUGGAACUGAGACACGGUCCAGACUCCUACGGGAGGCAGCAGUGGGGAAUUUUGGACAAUGGGCGAAAGCCUGAUCCAGCAAUGCCGCGUGAGUGAAGAAGGCCUUCGGGUUGUAAAGCUCUUUUGUCAGGGAAGAAACGGUGAGAGCUAAUAUCUCUUGCUAAUGACGGUACCUGAAGAAUAAGCACCGGCUAACUACGUGCCAGCAGCCGCGGUAAUACGUAGGGUGCAAGCGUUAAUCGGAAUUACUGGGCGUAAAGCGUGCGCAGGCGGUUUUGUAAGUCUGAUGUGAAAUCCCCGGGCUCAACCUGGGAAUUGCAUUGGAGACUGCAAGGCUAGAAUCUG
rnacentral:rRNA from 1 species